UACAGAGGGUGCGAGCGUUGUCCGGAAUCACUGGGCGUAAAGAGCUCGUAGGCGGCUUGUCGCGUCGACUGUGAAAACCCGCGGCUCAACUGCGGGCCUGCAGCCGAUACGGGCAGGCUAGAGUUCGGUAGGGGAGACUGGAAUUCCUGGUGUAGCGGUGAAAUGCGCAGAUAUCAGGAGGAACACCAAUGGCGAAGGCAGCACUCUGGGACGUGACUGACGCUGAGACGCGAAAGCGUGGGGAGCAAACAGG
rnacentral:rRNA from 1 species